UACAGAGGUCUCGAGCGUUGUUCGGAUUCAUUGGGCGUAAAGGGUGCGUAGGUGGCGCUGUAAGUCGGGUGUGAAAUCCUGAGGCUUAACCUCGGAACUGCAUUCGAUACUGCGGUGCUUGAGGACUGGAGAGGAGACUGGAAUUCAUGGUGUAGCAGUGAAAUGCGUAGAGAUCAUGAGGAAGACCAGUGGCGAAGGCGGGUCUCUGGACAGUUCCUGACACUGAGGCACGAAGGCCAGGGGAGCAAACGGG
rnacentral:rRNA from 2 species